AAGAGUAGUGUAGACUUUGAUGAGGAAGUUGAGUGGGAACAAGAAUUUGAAGAUGAGGUGCAUCUACUUGAGAAUGGUAACAUUGAUUUAAAAGCAAGUGGUCAAGAAAGUGAUGACACCUUAUCUAGUUAUGAAUCUGUUGAUAAUGGUAGCCUAGGCAGUGAUGCAGAUGAAGAGACACCCAUUUCUAGGAUGGCUAGAUAUAUGAUAGGGAGGGAGGUUAUAGAAUCUACAAGGAAGAUAGAGUUUCAAGAAAGUCAAAUUUUUGAAGAUGUUUAUCAUUUUAGGAAAGUAUUGAAAGAUUAUGUGAUACAAGAAUGAUUUACAUUAGUUAGAGAGAAAAAUGAAAAGACAAGAGUAAGUGCUAAAUGUGGUACCUAUAAUUGUCCUUGGAGAAUUUAUGUCUCUCAAUUGCCAGAUGGUGUGACAUUUAAAGUCAAUAUAUGUAAAGAACAACAUACUUGCAUAAGGAAAACAAAAAAUGCUGAGGUAAUUUCUAAUUGGAUUGCAAGUAAACUUGAAUCAUUGAUUCAAUCAAAUCCUGAUGUUAAAAUAGGAGUAUUAGAGAAUGAGUUAAGAACAACCUAUGGGGUUAAAUGUGAUAAGUAGAAAAUAUACAAGGCAAAGAAUAAGGCUCUUGAUAGGAUGGGAGGGGAUUAUGCUGUUGAUAAAGGCUGCUAGACCAACCAUCAUUAACAAUCUACAAUUUCGAAGGUUUUGCCUCAGUUUUCUUGCACAAAAGUAAGGAUUUUUGAUUGGAUGUAGGCCCUUUAUUGGCCUUGACGGAUGCCAUUUAAAAGGACCUUUCGGUGGAAUUUUAUUAUCUGCUGUGGCAUUAGAUGCAAAUAGUGGGAUAUUUCCAAUUGCAAUAUGUAUAUGUUAGGGGGAAAGCACAGAGACAUGGGGUUGGUUUUUAAAUUUGUUGAAUGAAUAUAUUGGGGAAGCUGAAACUAGGAUUAUUUCAUUUAUGUUUGAUAGACAAAAAGGAGUAUUAGCAAGUUUGCACAAAAUUUUCCCUCAACAUAAAACUAGAUUUUGUGCAAGGCAUAUUUAUGUCAAUUUUGGAGGAAAAUUUACAAGUUUGAAGCUUAUGGGUUUGUUUUGGGCAGCAGCAAGGGCAACAAAUGUUCAAGAUUUUAAAAGGAAUAUGGAUGAGAUCAAGGUUGUUAAGGAGGAUGCAUAUAAAUGGUUAAUGGAAAUCCCUUUUUGCCACUGGUCUAGGCAUGAUUUUGAUGAAAAUGUUAAAAAAUACCAUAUCACAAAUACUAUGACUGAGAAUUUCAAUAGUUGGCUUGGUGAGAGUAGACAAAAGUCAAUAGUUACACUUAUUGAAGAUAUAAGGAGGAAAGUUAUGAAAAGGUUGCAGAAAAGGCAUGAAAAGGCAAUGAGUUAGCCAACCACUAUUCCUCCAAAUAUUCAAUAAAGGCUUGUGAAGACUCAAAAGGAAGGGAGGUAUAUUAGACUCAUAUGGACUAGGGGUGAUGAAUAUGAAGUUAUGGAUGAAGCAACUCAAACUAGAGUUUAUGUAGUUCAUUUGCAGCAAAAAACAUGUCAAUGUAGGGAAUGGCAAAUUAGUGGAGUCCCAUGCAAGCAUGUUGUGGCAUGCAUUACCUAUAAAAGAUUGGAUUUUGAGUAAUGUAUUGAUCUCAUGUUAACUAAAAAAGCUUAUAUUGAAACAUACCAAGUCAAUGAUACAUCCAAUCCCCGAUGAAUCAAUGUAACCAGAGGUGGAUUGUGAUGAGUUGCUGCCUCCAAUUAGAAGAAGAAUGCCAGUAAAACCAAAAAUUACUAGGAAAAGAGCAGCAGAUGAGGGGAAGAAAAAGAAAAGGUCAUUCACUCUCAAAUGUGGACUUUGCAAUGAAUUUGGUCACAACAAAAGAUCUUGUAAGGUGGCUAGCAAUCAAUUGAAGUAGGAAGCAAUUUGGUAUGGGCCUUCCAUUUCUCAACCAGCAUGUUCACGAAUAAGUCAAACUAACCAAGAACAAGGUCAAUCAUGUGGGAGGAAAUUCAUUUCUUAUGCUUUUCUAUUUUUAUGGCUGUUAUUGAAGUUUUUUUUAUGGCUAUUAGUGAAAUCUUUUGUAUGAAGAUCUAUUCCUUUUGUAAUUUUUGAUCACAAGUAUGGAGACUAUUCUUUAAUCCAACUAUGAUGGCUAUAGUUGUGUUGAAAUACAUGGAAUGAUCUCUUUUUAUUA